rnacentral:rRNA from 1 species
UACGGCGGGGGCUAGCGUUGUCCGAAGUUACUGGGCGUAAAGCGCGCGUAGGCGGGUUGGUAAGUCCGCUGUGAAAGCCCGGAGCUCAACUCCGGAGGGUCGGUGGAUACUGCCAGUCUUGAAGGUGCUAGGGGGAGAUGGAAUUACCGGUGUAGCGGUGAAAUGCGUAGAUAUCGGUAGGAACACCAGUGGCGAAGGCGGUCUCCUGGGGCAUUCUUGACGCUGAGGCGCGAAAGCUGGGGGAGCGAACAGG